rnacentral:rRNA from 1 species
GAUGAACGCUGGCGGCGUGCCUAAUACAUGCAAGUCGAGCGAACGGACGAGAAGCUUGCUUCUCUGAUGUUGGCGGCGGACGGGUGAGUAACACGUGGAUAACCUACCUAUAAGACUGGGAUAACUUCGGGAAACCGGAGCUAAUACCGGAUAAUAUUUUGAACCGCAUGGUUCAAAAGUGAAAGACGGUCUUGCUGUCACUUAUAGAUGGAUCCGCGCUGCAUUAGCUAGUUGGUAAGGUAACGGCUUACCAAGGCAACGAUGCAUAGCCGACCUGAGAGGGUGAUCGGCCACACUGGAACUGAGACACGGUCCAGACUCCUACGGGAGGCAGCAGUAGGGAAUCUUCCGCAAAGGGCGAAAGCCUGACGGAGCAACGCCGCGUGAGUGAUGAAAGUCUUCGGAUCGUAAAACUCUGUUAUUAGGGAAGAACAUAUGUGUAAGUAACUGUGCACAUCUUGACGGUACCUAAUCAGAAAGCCACGGCUAACUACGUG